UUUCUACCUGGCACAUUGCUUGUUCCUGGUUCUAAAUGUCAUUUGGGAAGAAAGUCAAGAACUUAAAGGUAGGAAGAGAGCAGCUGCUCACUCUGUAGAGACAAGGUCGCAGAGCAGGAAGCACGUUUCAGUGGAUCCAGAUUGUUUCCCUCAGUAAGAGACUAUAAGAAUGAAUGGACAUAUAUCAAACACCCCUCCUGGUGGAUAUGGAAGUUAUUUUCCUCAAAUGAAUGGCUAUGGUUCCCCAACAUUUGCCCAGUCAGAGAGGGAGCAGAAUUCAAGAACAAGUGCAAAAGCUCUUUAUGGUAAGGCGGCAUGAA
rnacentral:lncRNA from 14 species